CUUGAUCGAGCCGAGCAGCAGCGGCUCGGGCCGGUCCUGGCCGUAGGUGGCGAUGAGGGCCUGCGCCUC
rfam:Actinosynnema mirum DSM 43827, complete genome.